AUUGAACGCUGGCGGCAGGCCUAACACAUGCAAGUCGAACGAGUGGCGGACGGGUGAGUAAUGUCUGGGAAACUGCCCGAUGGAGGGGGAUAACUACUGGAAACGGUAGCUAAUACCGCAUACCAUCAGAUGUGCCCAGAUGGGAUUAGCUUGUUGGUGGGGUAACGGCUCACCAAGGCGACGAUCCCUAGAUGGUCUGAGAGGAUGACCAGCCACACUGGAACUGAGACACGGUCCAGACUCCUACGUGAGGCAGCAGUGGGGAAUAUUGCACAAUGGGCGAAAGCCUGAUGCAGCCAUCCCGCGUGUAUGAAGAAGGCCUUCGGGUUGUAAAGUACUUUCGGCGGGGAGGCGUUACCCGCAGAAUAAGCACCGGCUAACUCCGUGCCAGCAGCCGCGGUAAUAC
rnacentral:rRNA from 1 species